rnacentral:rRNA from 1 species
UUAAUAAACGAGAGGGAAAGUAUCACCGGGCACGAGUAACCCGGUGUGAAGAUAGGGGGCCCAUCCCCUAAGGCUAAAUACUAACAUGUGACCGAUAGUGAACAAGUACCGUGAGGGAAAGGUGAAAAGAACCCCGAAAGGGGAGUGAAAUAGAACCUGAAACCUAGUGCCUACAAGCAGACAGAGCGUGAGCGAACGUGAUGUCGUACCUUUUGUAGAAUGGGCCAGCGAGUUAUUCUAAAUUGCAAGGUUAAUGAUUUAAGAUCAGAAGCCGUAGCGAAAGCGAGUCUUAAUAGGGCGAAAGUAAGUUAGAAUAGACCCGAAACCGGGUGAUCUAUCCAUGGUCAGAGUGAAGUUGAAGUAAAAUUCAAUGGAGGCUCGAACCGGGUGCGGUUUAAAACGCAUCGGAUGAACUGUGGAUAGGGGCGAAAAACCAAACGAACCCGGAGAUAGCUGGUUCUCCUCGAAAUAGCUUUAGGGCUAGCCUCUGACCUAAGAUUUUAGGAGGUAGAGCACUGAAUGGUCUAGGGCGGGUUACCGUACCAAAACCUAUCAAACUCCGAAUGCCAAAAAAUCAAGUCAGGGAGUCAGACUUAGGGGGAUAAGCUUCUAAGUCGAAAGGGAAACAGCCCAGACCGACAGCUAAGGUCCCAAAAUUUGAAUUAAGUGGAAAAGGAUGUGAAUCUACUAAGACAACCAGGACGUUGGCUUAGAAGCAGCCAUGCAUUUAAAGAAUGCGUAAUAGCUCACUGGUCAAGUGGGUUUGCGCCGAAAAUGAACGGGGCUCAAAUUCAAUACCGAAGCUUCGGAUUAAUAGAGGGAUUAAGUUUACAAAUGAGACUAGGAAAUAUUUAACAAAAACAGAAGAGAUUAAAAAGAAAAACAAAUUUCAGACGCAGACAUAAAAGAUAGGAUAUUAAAAAGAAAUAUUCAAAAAACACAAGUCUAAAGUCAAAAGUGAGUAACAUAAGAAAUUAUGAACUAACAAUCACUGGUUAAGAGUUAAAAACUAGGACUCAUAGCUAAACUUAAUACCUCUAUUAGUGGUAGAGGAGCAUUGUAUUAGAGACGAAGCCAAGGCGAAAGCAAAAGUGGAUCUAAUACAAGAGAGAAUGCUGGCAUGAGUAGCGAGAAGGGAUGUGAGAAUCAUCCCCGUCGAAACCCUAAGGACUCCUGAGCAAGGCUCGUCCCCUCAGGGAAAGUCGGGACCUAAGCCAAGGCCGAAAGGCGUAGGCGAUGGAUAACAGGUUUAUAUUCCUGUACCGCUUGAAGUCGUUAAGAGAGAAGUGAUGACGCAAAAGGAUAAGCAAAGCCAUCAGAUGGAAAAGAUGGUCUAAAGCCGUAGGAAGAAAAGUAGGCAAAUCCGCUUUUCACAAAUUCUAAAAGCCGAUAGGUAUCGAAAACAUAAGUAGAGAAGUUGCCGAUUCCAGGUUGCCAAGAAAAGUCACUAUCCAGACCAAAGCGCCCGUACCAAAACCGACACAGGUAGGGAGGUAGAGAAUACCAAGACGCGCGGAAGAACCUUUGUUAAGGAACUCGGCAAAAUGUCCCCGUAACUUCGGGAGAAGGGGAGCC